rnacentral:lncRNA from 1 species
AGUCCUCAUCUCCACCAGCGACAGAGAGCUCCCUCCCUCUCAUCUCAGUCUGUUGUUGGUGAGGUCUUCCUCUGCUCCUCAUCUCCACCACCGACAGUGUGCUCCCUUCCUCUCAUCUCAGCCCUCUCAUCCAUCCGCCCUUGUUGCUGUUCUCAUCCAGCCUCGCCCCUGCCAGUUGGGUAUAUUUCCUGUCGAUUUGUUUCCAGUUAAAGUAGCAAUGCUUGGAUCUAAAAAGUUAUUACUUCUCCUGCUUGAUGAGUCUCAUCGCUUUGUGUUGGUUGAAUCCAGGGUGGCAGUUUCCAGUCAUUAUUCAGAGCACUAUGCAUCGAAUCGACUGACCCGGCUAGCGGCCUGGUAAAAAUUUCCCUCCUAUCUUUCUUGAUAUUCUCUUCUUAUUAAUCUGCUGAUUUGCUAGAUUAUAAGUUCUUAUUACUUAUUCUUUCAGAUCGAGUGAAGCGACGUCCGCCGCCGUGUUCUGUUGUGUUCUGCUCUGCUCUGCCAAGAAGUAUCAAAGGUGGGUCCGGAUCCUGCAGUUUGGAUUGGCAGCUCAGUUCUAGAGGAGCUCGUUGAAAUUAAAGCUUCACACAGUCAUUAUGCAGCUCAGUUCUAGUGAAGCGUUUAAUCGAGUGAAGCCACCUCCACGCUCACGAAUCUGGCCUCUGGUGCCCAGCCGCCGCUUCGGCUUCGUUGUCCCCACAGCGCGACCAUCCGACGAAGACGUCGCCGUCGUGUUCGCUCUCUUGUGAAGCGCCAA